AGAGAAGGUAAAGGAAGAAGUUUAAACUUUACUUGGGGGGGAGGUGAAGGAAAAAUCAUCCUUAUUAUGAGCAGGAGCAACAGCCCGAGGCAAAGCCAGACACGAAGAGGCAGGCACCCAAGAAGACAAUUCAGCGUGACCAAACCAUGAUGUGUUGUAUCCGGCCGAUUACCCCACUCUUCCAAGCCGUCCCGGUCUCUGCUCCAGCCCCUCUGCCGAUCCGGGGAUGCUGCAGGCUACCACAC